UAAUAUGUUCUCCUGUGUAACUUGAUCGAAGGGAGCUGCAAACAGGGAGGGACCUCGAAAGUGAAAGUAAGUGAGUAACAGACAGACUCCAUUUCACACGUUGACAGAGCAGCAGAAAGAGAACAGGGGUUACUAGUUCAUCUCUCAGGAUGGAGAACAUGAGAGAUUUGGAUGAUGAGGAGGAGGACAAAUCUUCAGUGUCCAGAAAACCUCCAGAUUUGAGUAAUACACUUGGAGCAUCUGACACAAGACAGAGAGCAGAGUCUCCAGUCCCCAGCUGUCUGUCUCUGAAGAGUGACUGGUCUAUGGAGAAA